UGGGGAAUAUUGCACAAUGGGCGAAAGCCUGAUGCAGCGACGCCGCGUGAGGGAUGGAGGCAUUCGGGUUGUAAACCUCUUUCAGUAAGGGUGAAGGCUCUCUUUUGUGGAGGGUUGACAGUACUUGCAGAAGAAGCGCCGGCUAACUACGUUCCAGCAGCCGCGGUAAUACGUAGGGCGCGAGCGUUGUCCGGCAUUAUUGGGCGUAAAGGGCUUGUAGGUGGCGUGUCGCGUCUGCUGUGAAAUUCCAGGGCUUAACUUUGGGAUUGCAGUGGAUACGGGGAUGCUAGAGUGCAGUAGGGGAGAUGGGAAUUCCUGGUGUAGCGGUGAAAUGCGCAGAUAUCAGGAUGAACACCGGUGGCGAAGGCGGGUCUCUGGGCUGUAACAGACGCUGAGGAGCGAAAGCGUGGGGAGCGAACAGG
rnacentral:rRNA from 1 species